ACAUGCCUACAACAUAGAAAUAAUGCACCAAAUCCCAUUAGAACUUCAUAGUUAAGCGUGCUAAGGAAAGCAUAGUAUUGGGAUGGGUGACCACCCGAGAAGUCCUAGUGUUUUACAUGCC
rnacentral:rRNA from 1 species